AUUUGUGACCAUUCAUUUUUGCUAAUGCCCGAUCUCGUCUGAUCUUGGAAUCUAAGCAUGGUUUGGCCUGGUUACUAUUUGGUUGGGAGACAAGGCAACAGUGGUGCUAGAGCAAACU
rnacentral:rRNA from 1 species